rnacentral:rRNA from 1 species
UAACGAAUCUUCCGCAAUGGGGGAAACCCUGACGGAGCAAUGCCGCGUGUGGGAUGAAGCGUCUUCGACGUGUAAACCACUGUCAGGAACGAGGAACACUGACCAGUUCCAGAGGAAGGGCCGGCUAAUUCCGUGCCAGCAGCCGCGGUAAUACGGAAGGCCCGAGCGUUAAUCGGAAUCACUGGGCUUAAAGCGUGCGCAGGCGGAUCGGCAGGCAUCUCGUGAAAUCCCACGGCUCAACCGUGGAACUGCGGGGUGAACCGCCGGUCUUGAGACAGGUAGGGGCUGAUGGAACCAUGGGUGGAGCGGUGAAAUGCGUAGAUAUCCAUGGGAACGCCGAUGGCGAAGGCAGUCAGCUGGGCCUGUUCUGACGCUCAGGCACGAAAGCGUGGGGAGCGAACGGGAUUAGAUACCCCCGUAGUCC